rnacentral:rRNA from 1 species
AGAGUUUGAUCCUGGCUCAGAAUCAACGCUGGCGGCGUGCCUAACACAUGCAAGUCGAACGAGAAAGUGGAGCAAUCCAUGAGUAAAGUGGCGCACGGGUGAGUAACACGUGACUAACCUACCCUGGAGUGGGGGAUAACUGAGGGAAACCUUAGCUAAUACCGCAUAAUACCUACGGGUCAAAGGAGCAAUUCGCUUCAGGAGGGGGUCGCGGCCGAUUAGUUAGUUGGCGGGGUAAUGGCCCACCAAGACAGUGAUCGGUAUCCGGCCUGAGAGGGCGCACGGACACACUGGAACUGAAACACGGUCCAGACUCCUACGGGAGGCAGCAGUGGGGAAUUUUGCGCAAUGGGGGAAACCCUGACGCAGCAACGCCGCGUGGAGGAUGAAGUCCUUCGGGACGUAAACUCCUUUCGAUCGGGACGAUUAUGACGGUACCGGAAGAAGAAGCCCCGGCUAACUUCGUGCCAGCAGCCGCGGUAAUACGAGGGGGGCGAGCGUUGUUCGGAAUUAUUGGGCGUAAAGGGUGCGUAGGCGGUUUGGUAAGUCUUAUGUGAAAUCUAUGGGCUCAACUCAUAGACUGCAUGAGAAACUGCCGGGCUUGAGUAUGGGAGAGGUGAGUGGAAUUCCUGGUGUAGCGGUGAAAUGCGUAGAUAUCAGGAGGAACACCUGUGGCGAAAGCGGCUCACUGGACCAUAACUGACGCUGAUGCACGAAAGCUAGGGGAGCAAACAGGAUUAGAUACCCUGGUAGUCCUAGCCCUAAACGAUGACUGCUUGGUGUGACGGGUACCCAAUCCCGCCGUGCCGUAGCUAACGCGUUAAGCAGUCCGGCCUGGGGAGUACGGU